rnacentral:rRNA from 1 species
UACGUAGGGUGCGAGCGUUAAUCGGAAUUACUGGGCGUAAAGCGUGCGCAGGCGGUCUUGCAAGACAGGUGUGAAAUCCCCGGGCUUAACCUGGGAACUGCACUUGUGACUGCAAGGCUGGAGUGCGGCAGAGGGGGAUGGAAUUCCGCGUGUAGCAGUGAAAUGCGUAGAUAUGCGGAGGAACACCGAUGGCGAAGGCAAUCCCCUGGACCUGUACUGACGCUCAUGCACGAAAGCGUGGGGAGCAAACAGG